AUGGCCACCAAUCCGAAUAUUUCCCUUCCGAAGGCGAGCUCCGUAAUUCUGGCGGGACUUGGAGUGGCCGCCGUGGGCUUCGCCGGGAAGCACCUGAUCCGCCGGAUGCCCCAGAUGACCACCAAGUUCAACGAGGCCCUCAAGAACCUGCCCAAAUUCGAUGCGGAGAGCAUGGCGGCCUCUAAAUACUACAAGGGCGGUUUCGAUCCCAAGAUGAACAAGCGGGAGGCCUCCCUCAUCCUAGGUGUCAGCCCCAGUGCGCCGAAGAUCAAGAUCAAGGACGCCCACAAAAAGAUUAUGUUGCUGAAUCAUCCGGAUCGAGGGGGCUCCCCCUACUUGGCGGCCAAGAUCAACGAGGCAAAAGACUUUCUAGACAAAGCCAAGUAGUCAUCCUACCUCCGCCUUUGAGUGCAAAUAAAGUAGUUUGUGAUUAGCAUAACAAUUUCAAUGGCUGUAAUUUACCUUUACUCUGAACUCAUACAAUUACUUAAAACUGUAUUGUACCUCAAAGAUUUAUAACACGAAAAGUAGCAUGACACUUGGAAUUUUUUAUUACUACUUAGACAACCAAAUUUGAAAGGUAAAUGUGUAUGAAACAGCAAUAUUUCUGGUAGUGAAAUGUGACUAUAUAAGGCGGAUAAAUAAAGUAGAACACUGACCU